rnacentral:rRNA from 1 species
UACGAGGGGUCCUAGCGUUGUUCGGAAUCAUUGGGCGUAAAGGGAGUGUAGGUGGCUAUUCAAGUCAGUUGUGAAAUCCCGGGCUUAACCCGGGAAGUGCUUCUGAUACUGUUUAGCUUGAGUACUGGAGAGGAUAGUAGAAUUCUGGUGGUAGUGGUGAAAUACGUAGAUAUCAGGAGGAAUACCGGUGGCGAAGGCGGCUAUCUGGCCAUGUACUGACACUGAAACU